GGAAGAGCGCGACGCUUGAAGGGAACAGAAAAGUCACACAAAGUUUUCAGCUGUUCGGUUUGUCGAGAUUUGAGCAGCCUGUCACCGCGGAGCCACCAAACCACAAGGGAAACAGAAGCAGGACCUGGAGCCGCUGGGAGCCGAGCUGGAGAUGUUUCCAGUGCAACGUAAAAUGCCACUCCUCCUGCUUCUCAUGUGCUGCUUUAUCCAGGAGGCUACCUAUGAAGG